UCACCCGUCCCCAUGUCCGACAUCCCCACGUCUCUCUGUCCCCGUGUCCCCAUUCCCCCAUCUGUGUCCUAUGUCCCCAUGUCCCUCUGUCCCCAUUUUCACGUGUCCCCACAUCUCACAUCCCAUUGUCCGUCUGUCCCCACGUCCUUCUGUCCCCAUGUCCCAUGUCCCCAUGUCCUUCUGUCCCACGUCCCCACAGUCCUAUGCCCCCAUGUCCCCACACCCCUGUGACGCCGUGUCCCCGUGUCCAUCUGUCCCCGCUUCCACGUGUCCCCACGUCUCACAUCCACACGUCCCCGUGACCCCGCAUCCUACAUCCCCACAUCUCGUGUCCCCAUGUCCUUCUGUCCCUGUGUCCUUCUGUCCCCAUGUCCCAUGUCCCCAUGUCCCAUGUCCCCACGUCCUUCAGCACCAUGUCCCCACACCCCUGUCACCCUGUGUCCCAUGUCCCUGUAUCCCAUAUCCCCAUGUCUUAUGUCCCCAUGUCCUUCUGUCCCCAUGUCCCAUGUCCCCACGUCCUUCUGUCCCCAUGUCCCAUAUCUGUGUCUCAUAUCCCCACGUCCUUCUGUCCCCAUGUCCCAUGUCCCCAUGUCCUUCUGUCCCACGUCCCCACGUCCCUGUCACCCUGUGCCCCUAUGCCCCCAUGUCCCCUCACCCCCGUGUCCCCAUGUCCAUCUGUCCCCACGUCCACGCGUCCCCACGUCUCACAUCCGCACGUCCCUGUGACCCCACAUCCCCACAUCUCGUGUCCCCAUGUCCUUCUGUCCCCAUGUCCCAUAUCUGUGUCUCAUAUCCCCAUGUCCUUCUGUCCCCGUGUCCCAUGUCCCCGUGUCCUUCUGUCCCACGUCCCCAUGUUCCUGUCACCCUGUGUCCUAUGCCCCCAUGUCCCCACACCCCCGUGUCCCCGUGUCCAUCUGUCCCCACUUCCACGCGUCCCCACGUCUCACAUCCGCACGUCCCUGUGACCCCACAUCCCCACAUCUCGUGUCCCCAUGUCCUUCUGUCCCCAUGUCCCAUAUCUGUGUCUCAUAUCCCCAUGUCCUUCUGUCCCCGUGUCCCAUGUCCCCGUGUCCUUCUGUCCCAUGUCCCCACGUCCCUGUCACCCUGUGUCCUAUGCCCCCAUGUCCCCACACCGCCGUGUCCAUCUGUCCCCACUUCCACAUGUCCCGUCUCACAUCCGCACGUCCCCGUGACCCCACAUCCCACAUCCCCAAAUCUCACGUCCCCACAUCCUUCUGUCCCCGUGUCCCAUGUCCCCAUGUCCCCAUGUCCUUCUGUCCCACAUCCCCACGUCCCACACCCGCACUCCACCCCCCCCACCCCUCCCCUAUAGGGCGCACAUCCCCAAAGCGAUGCACACAGCACCUCGCCGCCCCAAAAGGAACGGGACCGCAGCGGGGCGCUGCCCCAUAGGAGCACACAUCAUCGCCCCCCAUAGCGGCAGGCAUCGCCCCCCAUAGCGGGGUGUGGGGCGGAGGGAUGCUGCCCCAUAGAUGCAGCUGCCCCAUAGAUGCAGCUGCCCCAUAGAUGCAGCAGCCCCAGCGGCAGCCGCCCACCCCUGCGGCACCGCAGCGCUGCAGCACCGGCCCAC
rnacentral:lncRNA from 1 species